AUCAACUUUCGAUGGUAGGAUAGAGGCCUACCAUGGUGGUAACGGGUAACGGGGUGUUAGGGCACGACACCGGAGAGGGAGCCUGAGAAACGGCUACCACAUCCAAGGAUGGCAGCAGGCGCGCAAAUUACCCAAUCCCGACACGGGGAGGUAGUGACAAUAAAUAACAAUACGGGGUUCUUUCGGAUCUCGUAAUUGGAAUGAGUACAAUUUAAAUCUCUUAACGAGGAACAAUUGGAGGGCAAGUCUGGUGCCAGUAGCCGCGGUAAUUCCAGCUCCAAUAGCGUAUAUUAAAGUUGUUGCAGUUAAAAAGCUCGUGGUUGAAUUUCGGGGUUAGUAGGCUGGUCAUGCCACCGGUAUGUACUGGUCUUACUGAUUCCUCCUUCCUGAUGAACUGUAAUGCCAUUAAUUUGGUGUUGCAGGGAAUCUGGACUGUUACUUUGAAAAAAUUAGAGUGUUUAAAGCAGGCUAACGCUUGAAUACAUUAGCAUGGAAUAAUGAAAUAGGACGUUCGAUCCUAUUUUGUUGGUUUCUAGGAUUGACGUAAUGAUUAAUAGGGAUAGUUGGGGGCAUUAGUAUUCAAUUGUCAGAGGUGAAAUUCUUGGAUUUAUUGAAGACUAACUACUGCGAAAGCAUUUGCCAAGGAUGUUUUCAUUAAUCAAGAACGAAAGUUAGGGGAUCGAAGACGAUCAGAUACCGUCGUAGUCUUAACCAUAAACUAUGCCGACUAGGGAUCGGAUGAUGUUAAUUUUUUAAUGACUCAUUCGGCGCCUUACGGGAAACCAAAGUGUUUGGGUUC
rnacentral:rRNA from 1 species